AUGAACAGAGACGUCAGUCAUGGACAGUAGCACUCAGGGGAAAGGGUUUCGAGCCAAAAGACCACACCGUACUGUGUAGCUGUCAUUUUCGGCCUGAAGAUUUUGACAGGACUUCGCAGACCAUCUGUUUACGGCAAGAAGCGAUCCCAUCCAUUUUUAACUUUCCUGAUCAUCUUUCAAAGCAGCCUAGUUCAUCCAGGUUAAGUAGAACGUCAAACAAAGCGACUGAAGAAUCUUCACACCCGUUGUCCAGCAUAACCUGUCAUGGGGUUUGUAAGACCAGACCUCUUUAAUCAGUCAUUCAUAGAUCAUACGUAUGCCUUUGACCCAGUUAAAGCAAACGAGAAGUUGGUUUUGUGUCAGGAGAACGUGGAGAAGUUACAAUGGGACUUGAGAAAUGCGAAGGACAGAGAAAGAAGAAAAAAGAAGACAGUUGGCUCCUUGUUGUAGGAUUUAAAAAAUAACAAGAUGCUGACUGAGGAACUGGAGCAAAAGCUGAAUUUCUACUCUGGUUGGGUGACUCGAUUCUCCCUCUCAAAUGCAUAUGAUCAAGUUCUCUAAAUCAAUCUGAAAUAUGUCUCUGUGAAACUAUUUUGUUUAUUAUUAAACUAUUAUUUCCCUGAACCUUCCAGACCUUCCAGUUGAACUGUCCAAGCACGACCAUGCCUUCACUCCUGCUCAAAGGGAAUUUGCUUUAACUCUGCAUUUGCAUGGACCUAAAGCCUACACUUACUUGCGGGGAAACUAUGAAGAUACCAAUCCCACAUCCUCACACUCUUCUGAAAUGGUUGCAGACUGUGGAUGCUAAGCCUGGGUUAAACACAGCGCUGUUAGACAUGCUACAGAGACGGAAAAACGAAGACCCAGUCAGUGGGAUAGAUCAGACCAGCAUGGCAAGUGAAGCCCCAGUGUUCAUGGGAGUUGGAUUACAUGCAGUAGGCUAUAAGGUAAGUAGUGAUUGUUCAUUUGAAGUUUACUCAAGUGGAAAAUGUAAGUAAUAAACUUACA